rnacentral:tRNA from 1 species
GGAGGAGUGGCAGAGUGGUCGAAUGCACCGGUCUUGAAAACCGGCGUGCGUGAACGCGUACCGUGGGUUCGAAUCCCACCUCCUCCGCCA